CUCCUGCAAGAAAGAAAACCUAUAAGAAUACACCUGAGGCAGAAAAGGGUAAGAAAAAGAGAGAAGAAGAACUCGUCGGCAUCAGAAAGGUCAAACGCGAAGAAUCUCUUCUCAAGAAACGAAGAGAGACUCAUACCACCCAGUCCUUUGACACGUUCUUGGAAGAUAUUCCUGAAGAUGCACUGAAACUAUGGUCUGAGAACACUGACGAACAGUUGGCGGCAGCCAUGAGCCUGGGAAGUCUGCUAGAACUCGAGAACCCUCCAAUUGAAGAGGUCGUUUCGACGGGUGUUGUCCCUCGCUUUGUGGAGUUCUUGUCAAGGGAAGAUACACCUCGGUUGCAGUUAGAGUCUGUCUGUGUUCUAACUAAUCUUGCUUCGGGAGCAUCUCAAUUCACAACAGUUCUAGUAGACCAUGGUGUUAUUCCCCCUUUGGUGAAUCUUCUCAGUUGUACCGAUGAUAAUAUCAAAGAACAGACCGUAGGGGCUUUAGGG
rnacentral:sRNA from 1 species